rnacentral:rRNA from 1 species
AUACGGGAGGCAGCAGUGGGGAAUUUUCCGCAAUGGGCGAAAGCCUGACGGAGCAAUACCGCGUGAGGGACGACGGCUUUUGGGUUGUAAACCUCUUUUCCCUGGGAAGAAGAUCUGACGGUACUAGGGGAAUCAGCAUCGGCUAACUUCGUGCCAGCAGCCGCGGUAAUACGAGGGAUGCAAGCGUUAUCCGGAAUUAUUGGGCGUAAAGCGUCCGCAGGUGGCUCUGUAAGUCUGUCGUUAAAGCGUGGAGCUUAACUCCAUAUCGGCGAUGGAAACUACAAGGCUAGAGUUUGGUAGGGGUCACGGGAAUUCUUAGUGUAGCGGUGAAAUGCGUAGAUAUUAAGAAGAACACCAGCGGCGAAAGCGCGUGACUGGGCCAAUACUGACACUCAUGGACGAAAGCUAGGGGAGCGAAAGGGAUUAGAUACCCCGU